rnacentral:rRNA from 1 species
AUUGAAUGCUGGCGGAAUGCUUUACACAUGCAAGUCGAACGGCAGCACGGGGGCAGCCCUGGUGGCGAGUGGCGAACGGGUGAGUAAUACAUCGGAACGUGCCCGGUCGUGGGGGAUAACGUAGCGAAAGUUACGCUAAUACCGCAUACGAUCUGAGGAUGAAAGCGGGGGACCUUCGGGCCUCGCGCGAUCGGAGCGGCCGAUGUCAGAUUAGGUAGUUGGUGGGGUAAAGGCCUACCAAGCCGACGAUCUGUAGCUGGUCUGAGAGGACGACCAGCCACACUGGGACUGAGACACGGCCCAGACUCCUACGGGAGGCAGCAGUGGGGAAUUUUGGACAAUGGGCGCAAGCCUGAUCCAGCCAUUCCGCGUGCAGGACGAAGGCCUUCGGGUUGUAAACUGCUUUUGUACGGAACGAAAAGGCUCUGGCUAAUACCUGGGGCUCAUGACGGUACCGUAAGAAUAAGCACCGGCUAACUACGUG